AUAUCCUGUGGUUGUUUGUACCUUCCAGGAAGUGACUUUCUUUACACACUUGGUAAGGCCAAUAUUUCCAAGCGGUUUUAUUCCAUAAAGUCCCAUGUUUGUUCCUCAAAGCUGUCUGGUCAUCUGAGUCUACGCAUGUUUCUCUCAAAUAUGACACUCCUGUCAAAGCCUUGGUAAUAUGAUCAAUAUUUCCUAUCGUGCCCUGCUAUAAGGAGAUAAGGUUCUUAUUAAGCUUAUACAAGUAACUAUAUUGUCAUGAAAAUUAUAAGACUUACUCACAAAGUGUUUCCAAAUUCUGGAGGUAUCAGGUAGGAAGAAAAAGAUAAAUGCUUCAAUUCUGCUUUCAAAGGUAUAAUUUACCAAGUUGCUAUAAGUCGGUUUGCUUAAGAGAAAAACCUUUCCUUAAAUCUAGAAAAAUAAAAUAUUAAAAAUGAGCAAUAUUUCAAAUGAGAAGUCAUAAAAAGUAUGAUCAUCCUCAUAAGUUCAUUCAGUUUCAUGUAACCAACUCUUGAUCUUUUCUUAGCAGUUUAAUGAAGUCAUCAGUUUCUAUAUUACUGUUCUUUAACUUCUUACCCAGUUUGGUUUUAUGAUCUGAAAAUUUAUCAGAAACCUGUAUUCUAGAAUGUUAGAGUCCUCUCCAUGAAUCUCUCUGAUGAUGAAAUACAUCUUCAAAACAUCAGAGUAAAAUAACAGCUAUCUGCAAAUGACGGAAGACUUGAAAAAGGCAAUUGACAAAGAAACUUCUAUUUCUGUGACAUAUAAUACUUCAAAAUGAUAACUAGAAUUCUGGCUGGUAACAAGGAAAGAUCAGAAUUUUAAGAAAGUUAUAUAAUUUUAAAACACUUACAUCAAUAACAUUUGCUCACAUAGUAUAUCUUAAGAAGGUUAAGGGGGCCAGCCUGGUGGCACAGUGGUUAAGUUCACACGUUCCACUUCUUGGCAGCCUGGGGUUUUCUGGUUUGGAUCCCAGGUGCAGACAUGGCACCACUUGGCAAAAGCCAUGCUAUGGUAAGCGUCUCAUGUAUAAAGUGGAGGAAGAUGGGCAUGGAUGUUAGCUCAAGGCCAGGCUU
rnacentral:lncRNA from 1 species